UUUUCUGUGGCUUAGUUGGUUAAAGCGCCGGAAUAGCGAAACGGAGCCGUGGGUUCGAGUCCCACAAAAA
rnacentral:tRNA from 1 species